rnacentral:piRNA from 1 species
UGCGCAACUGUAUUAUUUCCGUAUUGGCCA